UUGUUGAGUCUAAAUAGUCCUAUGGAUUUCACCACAACAUAGAAGUUCAUUAGAAGUUGAAACAUUUUGUGAUGAAAAAUAUCAAAAUAAUUUUUAUUAAUUUAUAAUUCAUGUACAUAUAUAAAAAUAAGCACAACCGUCAACAGACUGACGAUUGGCUUUGGGAUACUAUUUCCAACAGAAAGAGACAAGGGAUCAAGAGAAGACCACCAG
rnacentral:lncRNA from 1 species